rfam:Triticum urartu cultivar G1812 contig921085, whole genome shotgun sequence.
UACAUACUCCCUCCAUGCGGAAUUACUAGUCCAAGAAAUGAAUGUAUCUAGAUGUAUUUUAGUUGUAGAUACAUCCAUUUUUGUGACAAGUAAUUUCGAACGGAGGGAGUACUAC